GUGGGGAAUAUUGGACAAUGGGCGCAAGCCUGAUCCAGCCAUGCCGCGUGUGUGAAGAAGGCCUUUUGGUUGUAAAGCACUUUAAGCGAGGAGGAGGCUCCUUUAGUUAAUACCUAAAGAGAGUGGACGUUACUCGCAGAAUAAGCACCGGCUAACUCUGUGCCAGCAGCCGCGGUAAUACAGAGGGUGCGAGCGUUAAUCGGAUUUACUGGGCGUAAAGCGUGCGUAGGCGGCUUUUUAAGUCGGAUGUGAAAUCCCUGAGCUUAACUUAAGAAUUGCAUUCGAUACUGGAAAGCUAGAGUAUGGGAGAGGAUGGUAGAAUUCCAGGUGUAGCGGUGAAAUGCGUAGAGAUCUGGAGGAAUACCGAUGGCGAAGGCAGCCAUCUGGCCUAAUACUGACGCUGAGGUACGAAAGCAUGGGGAGCAAACAGGAUUAGAUACCCGGGUAGUCC
rnacentral:rRNA from 1 species